GCCUGAGUGGCUCAGUGGUUGAGCAUCUGCCUUUGGCUCAGGACGUGAUACCGGGAUCCUGGGAUCGAGUCCCACAUCGGGCU
rnacentral:tRNA from 1 species